GCGGGAAGUGGCAGCUCCUCAGCUCCUGAGCAGCUUCGGCGCUUCGGUUCCCGUAGCUCAGACUAUUCGGACCCUCAGGGCAGAAUGCAGGGCGGCCAACUUGCCGCUCUGUGGAGCUGACCGCGUUCGGAGGUGCUGUUCCCAAGAGUAUGCUCCAGUAAACCACCUGCGUGCAAAUGUCUGCCUCGGAGUCUGUUUCCUGGAAAACCCAACUUAAUUCAAUAUUUUCAGAAUAUCUACAGAAAUAGAAGAAAACUUUCAAAAAAAUGAUAAGAAACAGCAGUUGAGGACUAUCAACAAUUACUGACAGAGUAAGGAAUUGGUGCCAUGUUUACGUCUAGUGGAGUUCGAUGCGUUAUUAUUUCUUUCUGUGAGGGGGUAUGGGGAGGACUUUCUCUCAACGACGUAUCGAUACUCAAAAACAGUCACUGGGAAGACAGCAGUGAAUCAGAGUAACGAAAUGCCUGCCCUUACGGCGUUCCUCAGACUUGAAUGCAAUCUUCAAACUAUUCUAUGUGAACAAACUACUAAGAAGAAGCCAAAAUGGAUGUAUUGGAGGCCAGAAGUCUGAAACCGGUUCUCACUGGGCUAAAAUCAGUGCCAGCAGGACUGCAUUCCUUCUAGAGGCUCAAACCUGAUUCCUUGCCUUGUCCAGCUUCUAGAGGCUGCCCACAUUCUUCGGCCUGUAGCCACUUUCCACCUUCAAAACCAACGUGUUCCAAACAAGCUAUGGUUCUCUUGGCAAAACAGCCCAUUAGGAGUCUCACCAGCCUCUCUCUUGGGGUUCGCAGUGACUCAGACAAGAGGGGGAAAAAAAACCCGAGGCUAGACACCUGUCCCCAGUGGAAAAAGGAAGAACACACCUGGAGAGCAGCUCAGACAAAGGGAAAAAAACAGUAAUUGGAGAGGAGACUGCUUCCAAUCUGUUGCUGGUUGUAAGGGCUUCUCCAGUGUGCUGUUUCUUAAAAAUAAGCAGCUUAAAAUAAUCCUUAUGCCAAAGAGACAUGCUUUGGGGUGACAAAGUCUGCUCCUCUACACAGCUUUGGGGAAGACAUGUUAAGAGAGCAAAAAUGGGAGUGUGGUAAAGAAAAUGAAGAGGCAAAAGGAGCGUGAGGAUAAGAUAGGAUCGGAAGUCAAGAGAGGAGAGAAUUUCUAGGAGGAAUGUGGACCCCAAGAAGAAAGAUUUAUUUGAGAAGAAAGAUUUAUUUGACGUGAACGCCGAGGAGGAAUUUAUCUGCUGAGAUGGACUCCCCAUGGUUAACUGAGUGCUCCAAUUUUAUAAAUAAUAACAGGCUAGUGGCCAUUUGUUGACCAGAAAGAGCGCCAGACUGAACUCUAGACUUCCUAGACUGAGUCAACAACUACAAAGGAGUUCCUGUUUUCGUCUUUCAACCAAAUGGACUAAGACCUGUCCCCUCUAAUCAGAACCGCUCCAUAACAACCAAUCAGGAAACAUAUUGUUGAUCAAUCAGGACUGCUAAAUUCGGACCAAUCAGAAAUGUACAAAUUUGGGUACUUCAUUUACAUAAAACAGACCUAAUUGGGAACCUGGGUGGGAAUUUUCAAAGGCAGCCUCCCCUUUGUCCUGGUGGAACACAAUGUAGGUUGCUCCUUGAAUCUGUGUCUUCAGGUCUGCAGCUCCUUUUAUUCAAAUAAAUGCUUUUUAUUCUUUAUUAGUCUAAAAUUUAAUUUUGGUUUACAUGUAGAAUCAUGAGUCUAGGGCUCCAGCCUACCAAUUUACUAGUUAUGUGACUUAGGAUAAGUUACUUAAAACAGAUCCUCCUUGGUUUCCUUAUAUGUAAAUUAAAAAUGGUGAUGAUGAUAAUACCUGCUCUAUCCCUACAAGGUUAAGAGGACCAAACAAAGUAGAAAAGAUAUAUGAAGGCAUACUGUAAACCAUAAUGAAGCAUAUAAUUCUUUAUAGAGUUGUUGUGAAGAUUAAUGUCUGAACACUUAGAACACAUAAUAAAUGAUGAAAAAUGUUGACAAUGCACAAUUGGCAUUUUAUAUUAGUCUUAGAUGAGAAACUGCCCAUCCCCUCAUGGACUGGUGAACAGAAUACGGAAUGGUCAAAUUUAAUAUCCCUUUCAGGUCCUCUUCAGUUGGAUUCCAUGUACUUCUUUAUUCCAUAAUAAUGUGAGUUUACAAAACUGAAAGAGAUUUUUAAAAUCCUAGGUAUUUGAGCUACCAUAAAGGGUCAGUGUUACUAAGUCAAUGGUAGAUAAGCUGUGGAUACUAAAUAGGCUGUAAAUAAGCUUCAUAUGAUACUUAACAUAUGAAGAAUCCACAAAAUGAACUUAUAAAUGAAAAGGGCAAAUAAAGACAGUAACUGUAAGAGACCGUAUUUUGAUGUUCUUUAAGAUGAGGCAUUGCGAUAUACUGAACAUGUUAAAGCCUUUGGAGCCACUCAGACUAGGAUUAGUAUUGACCUCCAUAGUGCACAGUUGACCUACACUGCUAAUGUAAUAAGCAUCCACGCAAUUAUUCACUUACUGAUUUGUAACUAGUCUGGCACUGUACUAGACUCAGGGAAUACAAUGUAAUGGAUAGGGACAGCAAUCCUAGUCUGACAUUCUGAAGGAGGAAAUUGCAAACUGUGAUGCAAAAGUGAUUCAAAAUAACUUUGUAUAUGAAAUAGCUGGUGCAGUGUCUUGUACCUGGUGGGUUGCUAAAUAAAUGUAGCUGUUACAUUGUUACAUUAAGUUUAUUCUACUUCUCUUCCCAUU